rnacentral:lncRNA from 1 species
UAGUUGAACUCGGUAGCAGAGAGGUGCUCAUUGAUCGAUGCUAGAAGGUGACUGUCGAUUGUCGGUUGAUUCUCUCUGUUGAUCGGCGACUGGGUCACUCUGUCGAUCGAUGUUUAGACGUAAGGGUUUGGGUGGAUGAGGGUGCUUAGCUGCGAACUCUUCAUGGGUCAUGAAUCUCACCAUCUCGCAUGAUGCCACUGACUCCGUCGAUCGAUGUUGAACAACAGGUAUUGGUCGGUCGACACCAAUGUGAACUGUCGAAGCUCAUAGAUUUUUAAACUUCGAAAUCUUCCUCCUGAAGCUUCUUCUCAUUAACCACUUGCCAUAAAUCAUCCUCUAUGAUGGCAUUCACGUGGUACUUUAGUGCUUCAUCUCAUUUACCCUUGAUUAAGGUAUCUUGCCUCUUAACAUCAUCUCCUCUCUGAACCACUUGUGUAUCCAACUUCUGCACAUGUGUAUUCAAAGUUUCAAACUUUGUAUUCAGCUCUGUGUAGACAACAUAUAUCUUCUCAUUGACAUUCACCAUCAGCUUCUGCUGACCCUCAAGAACUUGAUCAAUCAUUGCUUCUAUCUUGCUCCCUCGAGUCUGUGGUACUACGUUCUGAUAGGAAGAAUUUCCAUAGUUUUUGUUGCUACUGCUGUUGAAGUUGCUGCUAUAGGGUUUCUGGAACUGCAAACUCUACUUGAAGUUACUCCUCUCUCCAUUGCCAUAAUAGUUUAUGUAUUCAUUGACCCUCAAGAACU